UAAGGCUAUUCAGAAGUAAAAAAAACAGCUGAAACAAGUAUUCAAAGAAAACAGAAAGAUUGUUCGCAAUAACAACUUCCAACUAAACCACGACUGAAUUCUAAUGUUUCAAAUACUAACCUUUGGAUUAUAGCAAAGAUUUUUUUUACCCUGUGGAUAAAAAAGUAACAAAAAAAUUUCUAGACUUUAAUAUCCAAAUUUCAUAUUUUCCGUGUCCAGAACCAAAGUCAUAUUGCUUAACAGCAUUCAAAAUGUUUAUUGAUUUCAGAUUUUUAAAUAGAUUGAAAUAAUGUUGUUAUUAUUGUUUAUUGUAUCUGUCAUACUCUGUGUUCUAGGUGCAGGUCUGUUUUUUCUCUCCAUCCUUUGCAGGGCUGGACGGGCAGGUGCGUUCCAUCAGAGCUAAUUACCACCCUUCAUAAGUAGCUGGAACCAGGUGGAGGGCGUCAGUUCAUUUACGCUUCAGCGUGAAAGCCAUCCAGUCAAAGACCUGGAAACCCACGCCUUUGAUCAGAGUCAGAAGAACUCCUGGAAAACCAGAGAAGAACCCCAGAUCUUUCUGUCAGCCCUCCUGCCUGCGCUUGCCUGCCUGUCCACCCUCCAACAAACCAACACAGCGAGAGGAUCUGGAUCUGCACAAACAACCCAGACUUCUGAACAGCACUUCUUUCCCCAGACUAAGCCCAAGCCAUCACCUCAUUUUGCAUUUGGCUAGCGUCACUGUCACUACUGUGAGCAUGAGGUGCUACCAGGACCCU